UACGUAGGUGGCAAGCGUUGUCCGGAAUUAUUGGGCGUAAAGAGCACGUAGGCGGUCCGUCAAGUCGGAAGUGAAAUCUCAAGGCUUAACCUUGAAACUGCUUUCGAUACUGGCGGACUUGAGGCAGGUAGGGGAGUGUGGAAUUCCUGGUGUAGCGGUGGAAUGCGCAGAUAUCAGGAGGAACACCAGUGGCGAAGGCGGCACUCUGGGCCUGUACUGACGCUGAGGUGCGAAAGCGUGGGGAGCAAACAGG
rnacentral:misc_RNA from 1 species